rnacentral:lncRNA from 1 species
GCUGUUCAUGUAAAUUUGCAAUAAAAAUUUGGGAAAUUUGUAGCCCUCUACUGAACACUUGAUCCCAGCAAGAGGCUUGCAAGGUUGUGUUGUCUGGUCUGAAAAAUAUGCUAUUCUGAGGCUGUUUGGCACUGCUCUACUCUUUAUUUUUCAACUCUGCUCCAUUCUUGAUUUAUCAAACAUCCUCAACUUCAGGAUCUCUACAAAAAAUAUGGAGUUAGGACAAACUCCAAAGAGGUGCUAUCAAAAUUCUGUACAAUAUGCUCUUGGAGCGGGCGAAUUUACCCACCAAUUCCACUGCUUACCAAAAAAAAAGGUUCACUUCUGUUCUCAGCCUUCGGCCGCGGCUCUUAUUUCUCUCAUGGAUCAGCUCAUGCAGAGGCCAAGAAACCCCAGCUGCCAGUCAUGGAUGGGCCUAAAGAGGUCUCCGGCGACAUGGAGCUGAAACAAAUAUAUGAUGAUCCUAACUUCAAUCAUGUUGUUGGGACGGAAUCUUAACAGGCAACACCGGAUUCGGAGGAUCCGGGGGGAGGCGACGGCCAGACUACAGGCGACGCCAUGAGUCGGGCUCUCCCACGCCAGGCGUGGCAAUGACACUCUAGGGCGCAGAGGCAGAG